AGUAGUUUGACUCCUGGCUCAGGACGAACGCUGGCGGCGUGCUUAACACAUGCAAGUCGAACGAUGAUGCGGCGCUUGCGCCGUUGAUUAGUGGCGAACGGGUGAGUAACACGUGAGUAACCUGCCCCUUCUUCGGGAUAACGGUCUGAAAGGGCUGCUAAUACCGGGUAUUCACUGGUCCUCGCAUGGGGUCUGGUGGAAAGGGUUUUUUUCUGGUGGGGGAUGGGCUCGCGGCCUAUCAGCUUGUUGGUGGGGUGAUGGCCCACCAAGGCUUUGACGGGUAGCCGGCCUGAGAGGGUGACCGGUCACAUUGGGACUGAGAUACGGCCCAGACCCCUACGGGGGGCAGCAGUGGGGAAUAUUGCACAAUGGGCGCAAGCCUGAUGCAGCGACGCCGCGUGAGGGAUGGAGGCCUUCGGGUUGUGAACCUCUUUCGCCCGUGGUCAAGCCGCGACGUGGGUCGUGGUGAGGGUAGUGGGUAAAGAAGCGCCGGCUAACUACGUG
rnacentral:rRNA from 1 species